rnacentral:rRNA from 1 species
AACAGGAUUAGAUACCCUGGUAGUCCACGCCGUAAACGAUGUCGACUUGGAGGUUGUGCCCUUGAGGCGUGGCUUCCGGAGCUAACGCGUUAAGUCGACCGCCUGGGGAGUACGGCCGCAAGGUUAAAACUCAAAUGAAUUGACGGGGGCCCGCACAAGCGGUGGAGCAUGUGGUUUAAUUCGAUGCAACGCGAAGAACCUUACCUACUCUUGACAUCCAGAGAACUUAGCAGAGAUGCUUUGGUGCCUUCGGGAACUCUGAGACAGGUGCUGCAUGGCUGUCGUCAGCUCGUGUUGUGAAAUGUUGGGUUAAGUCCCGCAACGAGCGCAACCCUUAUCCUUUGUUGCCAGCGGUUAGGCCGGGAACUCAAAGGAGACUGCCAGUGAUGAGCUGGAGGAAGGUGGGGAUGACGUCAAGUCAUCAUGGCCCUUACGAGUAGGGCUACACACGUGCUACAAUGGCAUAUACAAAGAGAAGCGACCUCGCGAGAGCAAGCGGACCUCAUAAAGUAUGUCGUAGUCCGGAUUGGAGUCUGCAACUCGGCUCCAUGAAGUCGGAAUCGCUAGUAAUCGUGGAUCAGAAUGCCACGGUGAAUACGUUCCCGGGCCUUGUACACACCGCCCGUCACACCAUGGGAGUGGGUUGCAAAAGAAGUAGGUAGCUUAACCUUCGGGAGGGCGCUUACCACUUUGUGAUUCAUGACUGGGGUGAAGUCGUAACAAGGUAACC